AGAACUCCGCGCCGCUCUUGUGGUCAGAGCGUUCAACUCUUUAAGUUAGUGCGCUCCAGCCUUUUAGCAAGCCCCCGUGAAGUACAUCACUCUAAUCGUCCCCCACUGCAUCGACACAUCGUCUGGAGGAGAAUAUACAUCCCUGACCGCUCUCCACAAAGACUAUGGUAACCUUGAACACUCCUGAAGUUUACCGAACCUGUUCAGGACGAACUUGAGCGUCACUGGUUUCUCCAAGAAUGCAGAACGUUACAGGGAAUGUGAUGACUGGGUAUCGCUUAAUGGGUGAGACCGGAUAGCAGGCACCAGGGCUACAAGAAAUGCUCAACUAUUUACAAUCUCCAGCAUCUGCAAUACUUUGAUUUUAUUUCAGUCUUCACCUCUAAACGAUUUCACCAUCCAAGGGGGAAGAUUCUGCAGUUGACAAGAACGGUGUGGUGGAGAAUGGAUGUUUAAAAAUGGCUUUAGGGAAGAUGCCAUUACUGGCUAUGCCAACAUUUAUUGUUCAUUCCCUAUUUCCCUGGGAUAAGGCAGUGGUGAGCUGUCUUCUUGAACUGCUGCAGUCCUUGGAGUGUGAGGACACCCUCAAGUGAAUAAGGGAGCUUCAGGAUUCUGACCCAACCACAGAGUAGGACUGAUGAUAUAAUUCUGAUUCAGUGUGGUGUAUAAGUUGGAGUCAACAUGGAAAUUAUGUAUUUAUUUCAUGCAUUUGCUGCCCAUAUCCUUCUAGGUGAUACAGCUCACAGGUUUAGAAAGUGCUUUUGAAGGAACCUACAAUGCAUCGUUAGAUGGAAUGCAUUCCUGAUACGGUGCUUUGGUGGUGAAGAGAGCAAAAGUGCUGGAUGAAUGCGAAUGAAGUGGGCUUCUUUAUUCUGGCUGGUGUCAAGCUUCUUGAGUGUUGUGCCCAUUAGGGAGAGAGUUCCAUUACACUCCUGACUUACGUCUUGAUGAUGGUGGACUGGUAUUGGAGAGGAAAGAAAUUAGUUAAGAGCCUAAGCUGAACAGAUAAAAGGAGGAGUCAGAAAUAGUUGACCUGUCGCUUUUAAUUUUCCAAAACCCAUUAGAUUCAGGGAAGUUUCCUCUAGAUUGGAGUAUAACUCCUUUAUUCUAAAUGACAGAGAGACAAAAGCAGGAAACUACAGGCCAUUUCAUUUAACAUUUGCCAUAGGGAAAAUGUUAGAUGGUUUUAUUAAAGAUGUUAUAGCAGAGCACCUGGAUCAAUUCAAGGAAAUCAGGCAGAGCCAACCUUGAUUUUGUCAAGGAGAAUCCAUCUUGAACUAAUUUAUAGAGUCAUAACAUCAUAUAGCACUGAAACAAAGCCUCAGUCCAAUUUAUCCAUGCCAACUAGAUUUCACAAAUUGUUCGUCCCAUUUGCAUAUGAUUGGCCCAAACCCAUCUAAACCUUUCCUAUUCAAAUACCUGCCCAAAUGUUUUUUUUAGCUGUUGUAACUAUACCUGCAUUUAUUGCUUUCGCUGACAGCUCAUUCCACAUACAAACCACUCAUUGUGGAAAAAAAGGUUGCUCCUUAAGUUCCUUUUAAAUCAUUCUCCUUUCACUAAAAACUAAACCCUCUAGUUUUGAAUUCCCAUAGUCUGGGAGAGUGAGGUUUGCUAUACACCUUAUCUAUGCCCCUUAUGAUUGGAUAAACCUCUAGAAGGUCACCCUCAACCUCCUAUGCUCUAGGGAAAAAAAGUCCCAACCUAUCCAGCCUCUCCUUAUACUCAAACCCUCCAGUCCUGGUAACAUCUCUGUAAAUUGUUUUCUGCAUCCUUUCCAAUGUAAUGUUAUCCUUCUUAUAGCAGGGUGACCAGAACUGUAUACAGUUGAAGAAAAAAAGUUGUGCUGUAGAUAAAGGGGGAACCAGCUGAUGUAUUGUAUUUAGAUUUCCAGAAGGCAUUUGAUAAGGUGCAACAUCAAAGGUUAUUGCUGAAAGUAAAAACUCAUGAUGUAGAGGGUAACAUAUUGACAUGAAUUGAAGAUUGGCUUGCUAACCAGAGAGUAGGAGUAAAUGAUUCAAUUCAGGCUAGCAGGAUAUCAUGAGAAGUGUGCCAUUGGGGUUGGCGCUGAGGCCUUAACUCUUUACAAUCAUCUACCUGUAAUUAUUUGGAUGGUAGAAUCUAAGGUAUGACAACUGAACUUUACUUAUGACACUAAGCUAGACAGGAAAGUGGGUUGUGAAAAUGUGGGAAAUUGGGAAAUUGUCCAUAUUAGCAGAAAGAAUAAAAUGAAGUAUAUUGUCGAAGUGGUGAGAAGUUGGAGAGCUCUGAGAUGAAGUGAGACCUGGAUUUCCUAAUACGCGGGUCACAGGUUAGUACAUUUGUACAGCAAUGAGUCAAAAAAAAAUGGAAUUUUCUGUACUACUUUAAGAGGAACCAGUACAAAAGUGGAGAAGUGUGCUUCUGUUAUAUAACAGGCCAUUGGUGAGAUUGUGUCUGGUGUACAGUAUGCAGUACUGGCUACUAUACUUAUGGAAGGAUGUUAACACAGUGGAAAAAGUUCAGAGAAGAAUUACUAGACUAAAACCUGGUAUGAACAGGUUGUCUAUUAGGAAAAACUGGACAGUCAAGUUUGAAUCCUCUGGAGUUUAGAAGGGUCAGAGGUGAGAGAUGAAAAAACAUUUUUUUCUCAGAUUUCAGAUCAGCCAUGUCAUUAAUGGAUGGCAGAGCAGGAUUGAGGGACUAAAUGGCCUAUUAUUGUUCCUUGUUUGUAUGUCGUUGUUAAGAAUUUCUAUCUUCUGACCUGCCCUUGAAGCCACACUAAGAGUAGACAGGUUCAGUUGAGUUUCAGGUCAAUGGUAACCCCAGUAUGUUGAUGGGGCAGGUGGUGGGUGGGUGUGUGGUAGGGAGGGGUUUGGUCAGUGGUCAAUGAAGGAAUGCCAUUGAACAUUAAGAAUUGAUGGUUAAGUUUUCUCUUGUUGAUGGUAUUCAUUACCCUGCAUUUGUGUAGUACAGAUAUACCUUCCACUUAUCAGAUUAAGGUUGGAUACCAUCCAGAUCCUGUUGCAUUUGGACACAGAUUUCUUCAGUAUCUGAGGAGUUGAAAAUAGUACUGAACAUUGAAAACUCGUCAGUGAAUAUGGUGACUUCUGACCUUUAUGAUAGAUAAAGGUCAAUGAUGUAGCAGUUAGGAUAAAGUACUCUGGCAUUGAUGCCUUGCAGCUGAGAUGAUUAAACUCCAACAAUUUCAAAAUAUGCAGACUUUACACAACCUGCUACCUAAGCAGGACAAAUCUAACCCAGCCAAGUACUGCCCUCUUAGUCUACUCUCGGUCAUUAGUAAAGUUAGGCAAGAAGUUGUUGACAGUGCUACCAAGUGACACUUGCUAAGGACUAAGUCCAACAAUCCCACUCAUCUUCCUUCAUGCUAGGUUGACUCCAACCAGUUGGGAAUUAGCCCACUGAUUCCGCUUCCUUUGGGCUCUUUGAUACAUUGCAAGUUGAAUACAGCUUUGAUGUCUUUUACCUCAUUGCUAUCUAACUCAUGCUCAUUCCAAGUCUGCAAUCAAUUCAGAAGCCAAGUGGUUCUGAAGGAAACCAAACUGAGUAUCAGGGAGUACGUUAUCCAAGGCAAGUAGCACAGUCAACAACUUCUUGCAUAACUUUGCUGAUGACUGAGGGUGGACUUAGAGGACAGUAUUUAGCUUGGUUAAAUCUGUUCUGCUUAGAUGGUAGUGCUCAGGUGGUGUAAAGAACACAUAAUUUUCCGUUUUGGAAUAUAAAUGGGUAUGGAAGUCAAACAAUGAAAGACACUGCAAUAGCUGAAAUACCAGGAGAGUGUCACAACUUCAAAAAUCCAGUGGUGUGUGUUUUUGGCUGUGCAUUGCAAUUUCUGUUCUCAAAACAGUGCAGUCGAUUCUUUGAGACAGGAGUUUUUGAAUUAAGGGACAGCUUUGAAUUGGCCGAACAGCAGUUUAUUAUAGAUCUGUAAGUGCACAGCUGCCAGAGAUCUUCAUACCUGAUAAACAGAGAAAAAAACACUCUUUCUUUCCUUGGUGUGAGUGAAAAGGCAGAGAGCGUUAAAAGAGUGAAUUCUGAUACACAGAAAGACCUAGGUCCACCUGUAUCAACUGUCAAAAUGAAAAAUAACCAUCACUUUACAGACAACAGCAUAUUAUCGUUUCUAACAUCAAAAUGAACUGUGAGAGACAAUCUGACUCAUGCUUGUGAGCUGGACUUUUGAUCAUGUUGUUUAUAUUUUUCCACUCAUAAUAUUUGAGUUGAACUGUUAGUCUUUUUUCUGUCUUAAUCAUGAAUGUGUCUCUAUGUGCAGGUUGUUCUGCUAUAACCCAUGUUUCAUUAACACAAAUUUACUAUAACACAAUUGAUAAAAUGGGGUCACUUUUUCUAAAGUGCAAAGUUUUAAAGUGUGUCUCGGUUAUAAUGCAAUUCUGGUCUAUUAGCUUAAAUGGAGCUGCUGCUAUGCAAUUUUAUUAUAACACGGGAUUGCAUGAGAACAGAACUAUCACAUUAUAGCAGAACUGACUGCAUUUGGAGUUUUUAAAGAUGUACAGUUUAAGUUGCAUUGUAGUAGAUUGGUAACCAUUUCAUUUUUCUGUCAUCAAAGUUACAUGUGAUUACAAUAAAUUGUAUUUUCCAUUGAUUAUAAA